rnacentral:tRNA from 1 species
GUAGACGUUAAGCUCAGUGGUUAGAGCACAGGCCUCUGGUUCUCGGGUCCGCGAGUUCAAGUCCCGUCGUUUACU